rnacentral:tRNA from 1 species
AAAAUCCGUCGACUUUAUGAGUCGUGAGGGUUCAAGUCCCUCUAUCCCCA